CCAGCAGCCGCGGUAAUACGUAGGGUGCAAGCGUUGUCCGGAUUUAUUGGGCGUAAAGAGCUCGUAGGCGGUCAGUCGCGUCGGAUGUGAAAACCCGGAGCUUAACUCCGGGCCUGCAUUCGAUACGGGCUGACUAGAGUGUUGUAGGGGAGGCUGGAACUCCUGGUGUAGCGGUGAAAUGCGCAGAUAUCAGGAAGAACACCGGUGGCGAAGGCGGGUCUCUGGGCAACUACUGACGCUGAGGAGCGAAAGCGUGGGGAGCAAACAGGAUUAGAUACCCUGGUAGUCCACGCCGUAAACGGUGGGCGCUAGGUGUGGGGAACAUUCCACGUUCUCCGUGCCGCAGCUAACGCAUUAAGCGCCCCGCCUGGGGAGUACGGCCGCAAGGCUAAACUCAAAGGAUUGACGGGGGCCCGCACAGCGGCGGAGCAUGCGGCUUAUUCGAUGCACGCGAGACCUUACCUAGGCUUGACAGUUGGGAAAUCUGGAAAGAUGCCAGUCCGUAAGGGCCCCAAAACAGGUGGUGCAUGGCGUCGUCAGCUCGGGUCGGAGAUGUUGGGUUAAGUCCCGCAACGAGCGCAACCCUCGUCGUUUUUGCCAGCGGAUAAUGCCGGGGACUCAUACGAGACUGCCGGGGUCAACUCGGAGGAAGGUGGGGACGACGUCAAGUCAUCAUGCCCCUUAUGUCUAGGGCUGCACGCAUGCUACAAUGGCCGGUACAGAGGGCUGCGAAACCGCGAGGUGGAGCGAAUCCCAAAAAGCCGGUCUCAGUUCGGAUUGGGGUCUGCAACUCGACCCCAUGAAGUCGGAGUCGCUAGUAAUCGCAGAUCAGCAACGCUGCGGUGAAUACGUUCCCGGGCCUUGUACACACCGCCCGUCACGUCACGAAAGUCGGCAACACCCGAAGCCGGUGGCCUAACCCUUGUGGGAGGAGCCGUCGAAGGUGGGGCUGGUGAUUGGGACGAAGUCGUAACAAGGUAGCCGAU
rnacentral:rRNA from 1 species